ensembl:lncRNA
GGGAGGAAUGUUGGGUGUGCCCGCGCCUCACACAAAGGCGGCGGUUGGGCGGGAGGCGCAUGCGCAGGGAGGGGUUGGCGCACCCACGUGGUGCUGGGUGAGGUAAAUACGGAGGAGCGUUGUCUGUGGGGGAGCUCGUAGCUGUGCGAGGGGGAGCGAUGGGGCUCGGUGUGCCUCAGGGGCAGGAGGUGGGGGUCUCCGCCUGAGAGGUUACUGGGGCUGCUGCUGAGCGUCCUGAGCGAGGCAGAGCCGUGCUGGCUUUGGGAGGCGCUCAGCUGGGAGCUGUAAGGCAGGCACUGCCUGUUGGCUGGGCGGAAGGGCCCUGCUGAGCAGCGCUGAGCGCUGUGCCCUUCCCUCAUGCUGCCCGGUGCGCGGGGAGCCGUGCCCUGCUCCUCAUCCCUGUGAGGUGUUCACUGGGAUCUCGUGCUUUGGCUCCCGUUACACCUACCUUAUAAACCCUACUGGCAGCGAGGCCUUGUCACCUGAAAUAAGCAAAGUUAGGCAACUCGGGGAUUGGGGGGAGGUGAGCAGCUCUGAGGUAUGGCCCUGCUGCUCCUCGUUGUGAGUUUAAUUUCUGGGCUGAGGGAAAUUAGUUUGUAAGCUAGGUGCGAGGUGAGCUGUGCCCAGCAUGGCUUUGUUGUGAACGAAUUGAGCCAAUCUCAUCUCCAUCUCUGGCAGUGCAGCAGCUUGCAGGUGAGGGUAAGGCAAUGUGUGUCACAUAACUUCAUUUUUUAGUAGAACUUCUGAUGUUGGCUUGCAGGGUUUUCUAAUAAUAAGCUGGAAAACCAGUCUACGUGAUACUGCUUUAACAGGGUUGCAGAACUAGUUGAGGAAAAAUGUACUUGGUAUCAGCACUUGUCUGGGGAACUACCUUCAGUCCAUUACUCAUCCACAGUGAAACAGGCCCUGUAAUUACUGCGUUUGGAGAUGAGGUCAAGUUUGAGCUUGUAUUAAUGCACUGUCAGAGAACUAGAAUGCAAAAAGAGGAACUCUAGGGAAAAAAAGUAAGAGGUGUGGUACUGUAUACUUCAUAGUUGUGGAGUUGAUUGUAUUGAUCUUAGGAAAAGCAGCUGACUGUGCUGCAGGAAAGGAUGGAGGGGCUGCUGUGGGCUGUAAGCUGAAUGAGUAUCAGUGUCUUGUUGUUGGAGAGAAUGCCACACAGGUCUGUGUGCAUGUUGUGGUUCUGCUCCUGACACAGCUCUUUUGCCAUGCAGGAAGCCUCUGAGGAAGGCUGCCUUUCUAAAGAUUAGAUCCAAGUUGAUGGAAGUAAUCCCAGCUGACUUGGGCAGCGCUAGGUCAGACCAUAAACCAGGUGCUGGUAUGCUUGCUUAGUACCUCUGGAAUACUCAAAGGUAUUAUCCCUAUCUGUUAAGUCAAUAACUUUGUUCUAAUAACAUUUCAGGCUUUGAUGUCCACCCUUCAGUAGAAAAAUGUGAUUUAGGGGCAUGCAGUGGAUGGAAGGUGAAGAUAUUGCCUGAACACGAGGUAGCCUUAUACAGAAAGGCAGGAUGCUCAUCCUUACUCAGGGAGAAAAUGCUAUGCAUUAAACCCAUAUCUAGCUUUGAUAUUUCUGAAGUGUCAGUUGUCAGCACAGUGCCAAUGGAGCAAUCUGCUCAGUACUGGCAACUUUUCUCCCCUCUGUGCCAAUGACAAAUGUCAUUGACUACCUAAGGGGAAACUAGCCUCCUCUUGUGUUGGAGACCUGGUAAGUGUGAGGGUGGAGUUGUGCAAUAAAUGGAAGAAGGGAUAAAGAGAGAAAAUGGAGGAAUUCCUCAGGGUGCCAUCUGUGAUGUAAAUUACCAAAGAGACAUAGAGAAAGUAGAUUUCUUCUUCUGUGGGUUAAUUUUACUAGACUGCAGUCAGUCAGAACUAACAAGCAUGCUGCUUUUCAGGAUUGUAAAAGCAAAGCAAGUGCUAACAUGUUAUUAACAGCGUUCUUCUUAUAAAUGCUGGAGAGAAAUGCUGGAAGCCUUAGGGUAUAUAUUCCAUUUACCAAUAUAAAGGGCAGAAGGGUGGAGAGGUAACCUGGAUCAGCCACAACUUUCUUUGCUUUCUCAUCAGCUUUUCAGUGCUCAGGGACGAUUUCCUCAUGCUUGUUAGUAGUAUGGUAACAAUCAACUUUUGACUUCAUCUAAUAGCAGGCAGAUUCUUCCUAGAAAAUAAAGGAGUCCUGGAUUCCCUGAAUGCAAACUGCUCAGCUCUGGGGAUUCCAUUUAUCUCAUUAAGUGAUUUGUGGCUUAGUUUUUGGUAGCUUACUUUUCUCUAUAAAACUGUGCACUACUAAGUUGACUGGAAUUCACUCCCACUGUAUGUGUGCUGUGGAACAUUAGGACCUCUCUAUUUACCUUAAUGCUAAAUGAAGGCUAAAAUGAUGAUGCAGUCUGAGGCAGGAAUAGACCCUGUUGUUUACAGAGUCCUCGAUUCUGAGUCUGUUUUACUGGAUAUCUGUGUACAUGGAGUUGAGUAUAUAUACCAAUAUUAUUUAUUUCGAAGUUAAGCUGCAGUAGCAGCAGCUGGCUUUAGACCUGACUGAAAAUGUGUUUGAUUGCAAUCUCAACAAACAAAUAUAGUCUCUGCUCCAGAAUUUACAAUGUGUGUCUUUUUAUCUCAUGGAAAAUAUGAGCUCCACAGCUUGUUUAGUGCUUACUGUUUACUGAUACAAAUCACUGGAGGACUGUUGCUGUAAAGAAAAAUAAUAAUAAUAAUAAAAAAUAAGCACCACUCUAAGGAAGAAGAACUACAAGGGCUUUAAUAGAAAGACUGCAUUCUAACAACACACUGCCCUUCAGCAGAAGAAUAUCAAGUAAAUGUGCUGUUGUGUUCUAGAAUGCUGCACAACUGCUGUGCUAUAUAGGUUUUGUAUUAACAAACCUUAAAACUCCCAAUUUGUCAUGGAGGUUGCAGUUCACCUGCUAAAAAUGUGUCCUUUAAUCACUAGUCUGUUGCAGGUAAACGUGUUGUUUGAGUUUCUAACCUAUUUGAGUAACAGUUGCAUUUAUGGCUCAGUUCUUACAACUGAUGUCCCAUAAUUGCAGCUGAGAAAUGCUUCUUGUGGUGUCAGUCCAUUCCAGAACUCGUAUUCUUUUCCUUGCAGAUGUUUGUGUGUGUAGUCUAUCCUUCAUGGAAAUGAACUGCAGACUGUGGUGAAUGUUAAAAUAGCUUCUUAGAUCUCUGCACAGAAUGAAAUGGCAGGUAUGAUAUUUCAUACUGCAAUCUGUAACAGAAAGAUGCUUAAAAUUACACUGAAGUAGAUCUUGCUGUGGGCUGCAUUCCACGGAGAAGUCCCAACACCAUGGAGACAACUAACAGAACUGUAGUUUCAAUGGAGUCAGAAUUUUAUACUGCCCUUUUUAAGGCAGGUUUUUCAGGAGUGCUCAGCACUGUCUUAACUCUUCCACCAAAUCUGCUAAAAGCCUUUUCAUAGGCCUUGCUAGGAGCAAAACUGAGCCAAGAUAGUCCAGACUUUGCUUAAAAUAAACACAAGUCUUGCCGUCCAUCAUAAGUAUAAUUAUUCUAAUGACUGAGCUCUUCAGGUUCCACAGAAUUUCCUUACAGAGCAGUGUUGUUUGUCCAUUAUUGGCCUAAUCCUGCACUCCUUACUCAAAGUUAAGGUUGAGUGUUAAACAACCUGCAUAUAAACUGUCAAAAUAGCUGUUGCAUAAAUAACCUUUUCUAUGCACAGCCACUGUUUUCACUAUGUCUCUCUAUAACCUCUGCCCUCUCUGGGAGUUUGGGAGGGCACCCACUGCUCUCUAGGGCAGUCUGUGCCCCUUCCAGCUCUGUCAGUAGUGGGCUGAGGAGGUGUUCCUGCACCUUUCUCAUGCUGGUAAUCACCUUCAUCCAUUUGAAUUCAAAGGUCCUGAAAGCAGGUGAAAGAGAAAAUAAUGAAUGGAGAAGAAGCUGAAAGAUGGAGGUUUCUCUGCGAGGCUUGUCCUUAAGGUGCUGCCACGUUAAAACAAAAAACAAGACAGUGUUUUAUCCUGGUGUUGUUUGUGCCUGUCUGCAGUCAUUGCAGCCACAUUCUCUGUGAGAGCCUCUUCUGACUGAGACAGAUGUAACAGAGGUCAAGUUAGGCUGGUGUGUGUAUAUGCACACACCCGAGUGGAGAGAGUCAUGUUACUCUUUCAGUUACUGAAAUUGUAUUUUUGGCAGCAACUGUACUACUGUUCCAGCAGAGUCUAGCUUUGUCACCCUUUUUCUGGGUUUUCCUUUUGAAAGAGGUUCCAAAGGAAGCUCUGUGCUUUUACUCUUGGUUAGGUCCUAGUCAGGUCUGUGGCUAUACUAAUGCAAACAGCACUUUUUUGUUCUGAUCACGUACGUGUGAUUCUCUUGGAUUCUAAUUUGAGAAAAGCUGAUAGUAAUGCUUAUCUUCUACAAGGUUUGUUGGAACUACUGCAGGUUGAAAUUGCUGUCAGUGGGAGAGUUGGGACUAAUGAAUAAAUUCUCAAUUUGUUCAAGAUGUCUGAACAAGACUACAUAAUUUAUUACUUUAUUGCUUAAGGUAUAAGAUAGAACUGGCAUGCUUUUUUUAUUUGGGGUCCUGCUUGCACCUCCUGCAGUUCAGCUUGACGUUCUGUUGCAGUUGAUUCAGCAUCUUGACAAGCUCAUUAUUGUUACUGUUGGCAUGAUGCCCUCAGAUUUCCACUUUGUUUGGGUCUGUUUCCAUCUUCUUGAGCUUGGAAGUUCCAGCAUGCCCUGUUGAUUCAGUUUCCAGACUCACCUGUGGAGACUCAAUUGCAUGCUGGUGAUUUUCCUGCAGAGUGCAGUGAAGCAUAUGGCACAGCAUUCUGUUAUGUUGAAUCUAAUCCAGCCUUUGUAUCAAAUUAUUGUCCACGAAGUAAUAAAAACAGUCAAUUUCUAAGCCUGUUUAAAACUGAGGUACUAAGAUUCUGCACCAAACUAGAAUACCUUCUUUUAAAACAUAGGGCUAGGAGAGCUUUCAAGAAGUCAUCUUAAAAAUCUAUCUAAAAUUGGGGUUAUCUGUCAAACCAGUUCCUGGAUGUGUGACCAGACUGUACCUAACUUCCAGUAAUGGAGACUCCAUGAUCUCCAGACCAUCUUGUCCCAGGAGUAAUUCCCCCUACAACUAGAAAACUUACCUAGUCUCUAACUUAAACCUUGCUGCAGCUUUGGUGUAUAACUUAAUGUCAUAUUGCUACACCUGAUUAUUUCAGAUUCUUCCUUCUGAUCUCUAUCAAUUUCAGCUUUAACCUGAAACAGUUCAAACUGAAUGCAGAUCUGUAAGGAGAGGUGCAGCAGAAGAACGAACAAAGGUGCUCUGUGGGAUUAUACGUACAGAAUCGAUUCAGUGGAAUGUGGGCAAGCAGGCAUCAGGCCUGCAUGCAGCUCUCACAUCUGUGGCACUGGUACUUCUAGGGAAGACUGCUUCCUCCAGUGCCACCUGCAGUUCAUCCUAAUCAGUCUUCAAUCUUCUUAUCUUCUGCAGCUCGUGAAUGCUGUGCCCUCCUUUCCUCAGCUGAUUGAUUAGAUCCUUAAUUUCCUCCAGGGAAGAGAACAGAUAUUUCAUGUGAUAGGUUUAUUUCAGGACUAUGAACUUUACCAAGUGCGCCAGACAGAUUCUUUGAAUAGAAAUGGCAUGAAAUGGCUCCAGUCACUUCACAUUAGCUGCCCUUUUUCUCAUUGCUAACUAUUAUCUUGGAUUUCUGAAUGAGCCCUGCUAGCUCUAUGUAAUCAUGGAGGCAGAAGAGUGAAGCCCAUUAAAUCACGAGAAAUUUUUUCCAGUUUUUAGCCUAGUCUUCCCCUCUCCCAUUUUCAGAUGGCUGCUCAUACAAAAUGCAAAUAGGAUUCCACGUUGUCUCUAUGCAACAGAAUGAGGCACUUUGCCAGGUGAUGUAGGCCAGAGUAAUAGGUUGGGAGAGACAGCCCAGGAAGCGCUGGAUCUCUGCCAGGGACUCCAUCACCAUUUUCUCUUGGCUGCAAAGGCAAGCAGAUUCUAAAUCUGCAUCUUCUAAAUAUUGACAGUGUCAUCUUUCAGCCUCCUGGAGGAGAUCAAUUUUUACAAUUUACAGAAUAUUUUCAUUUAUUAAAAAGAAAAAAAGCCAAGGCAGCUUGUCUCCCUGUAUAGCAAGUAAGGGAGGCUCUGGGAGUUCAAGUGACAUCCUUGGAACUGAUUCCUGGAGAUGCCUCAUUCAGUCAUGCAUAUUGCUUCUGGGAAGUGUUCACUUCCACCUGCAGCUCUUCAUAUUUUCUUGUUGCCAUUCUGCCAGCAUCUUCUCAAAGGCUCUCUCCUUCUUCCAGAGCAGCACAAGCAGCAUUGGCCUGGAAAGAUAAAGCCAAGCAUUCAAUGGACACAAGUUUUCUUUACACUUCACUUCUCUGUGUGUCCUGCCAGCUAGUCACAGUUAAAUUGGCACCCACUGUAAUGACUGGCAGAGUUUCUCUUGGUUGCUCUGAAUGGGUGAUUAAAAUGUUUACAAGGCUUUCUUUCCUCACCAUUAGGAAUUUAACAAGAUCCCCCAGUUCCCAUCAGUGUGAUAGUCUUCCUUGCUCCUGCCGUUAUAAUGAUGCUGCUGUGGAGCAAAUGUUUUCCACUUCAGAUAUUCGUUGUGCAGAUGUGCUGUUAGUAAUUGCCUGGGUUGAUUAGUGUGACUUUCUGCUUCAAAGAAGAUUCAGUUAGAAACAAGAUGUUAUUUAAGACUAUUCUAGACUGUGUUUAAUGGCUUGUCAUGAAGGGAAAGAAUGAAGGAACGUUUUUUCUUUCCUGGGAGCUUUUAAUCACAAAUAUUCGACGUAUUUUUAUGAUCAGUACAUGCAGUCAGAUACCAUGGUGAUAAGCACGCCACAAACUGAAGAGUACAGAACUGCUUCAUUAGAGGCAGUGAUGGUGAAACAACCCACUGGUACUGCAACACUGAAGAGUUCAAAGCAGGAUCUCAUUAUCCUUAAAAAGAAGAUGAAUACCUUGCCUUGUAUUUGAGGGGGGCUUUUACUUCAGCUGCUAUUAUUUCUGGAAGACAGCUAACAAGUUUAUGAGCAGCAUGCUGUGUGCUCCUAAGAAUUAGCUGUGGCUCAUCUUUGCCUUUCUUCUCUUGGUCAUACACAUUACAGUGACAUUUGAUAGAGAGAUCUUAAAGUAUUAAGAAAUAAGGGAUCAGCGCAAAGCUGAUUCCCAGGGGAGGGGUUCCACCAUCAGGUCUUGCUGGUCAGGCUUGUGUUAGAUGUAUUCUUGAAUGGCUGAAUUUCUUGCCUUUUCCAGGUAAGGAGUGGGGUUCUUCAUUUUUUUUUUUGUCUGAAGCCUCUGUUUAGUGCUGCCUGGGCAGACUUGGACUGAUUCAGCUGUCUGCUUUGCUUCUUGGACCCUCACAGCCAACUUUGUCCCAAAGGAGUGGGGGCAGAAAUAACUCAGUAGUUCAUGGAGUGAGGAGUUCUGGGGGUCAGCAGCUGUCAUCUCCUUGAGCACUACUGCUAUUUUCACCAGUAAUCCUGAAAGCAAUCUCAGAAAAGUGACUGUAAAACCACGACUAGGAUGUGGCUGGAUCUUCCUCUCCCCAGGUACAAACAUCAUAGUGGACUGCAGCUCAGUUCCUCAUUGCUGGGUUGUCCUUCUGUUUAGGUAUCCCCAGGACAGUAAUAAUGUCAAAGAGCAAGGUAGCUUCACUCCCUGUGACAAUCUAUGGGACUAAGGCAGAGAUAGAAUAGCUUAUUUUGUCUCGGCUUGUCUCAGGCACGUGGUUAAAACCCUCCAGGUGCCUUAGCUUUUCUGUUCUGUGAAAGCAUCUUUGUUAGCUCUGCUAGAGAGAGACUGUUAAAAGAUGGCCUUAACUUCUUGCCUCCGUUACCAGAUCUCAAGGAGCACAUUCCAGGGGCUUCAAUCUGAUUUGGGUGCAUUCUUUUUUCUCAGGAAAUGCUAGUGGCUUUUGUAGGGCUGCUGGAAGAGCAGAGGUCCUGUUGGAGUAAGGGAAAGCUGCCCAACUUCAAGCCUUUACUGGAAAGGUACAGCAUUGUUCUUCUGUUGCCAGCAUACAAGGGUUAGAUCUCAGUAGUCCCUAUUUAUUAUUGCAGAUGUUCUUUUCUUCUUGGCGGCAGUGCUCUCCUUCCUUUGUCUUAUAAAAAUGAGUCCUAACAGGUCACAUCUAUAAGCUGUGACUCAGCAGCCAAACUAAAUAACAAGCUACUCUAAGUCCUGCCCCAUUCUCCCUGAAAGCUGUGUGCUCACCUUGUUUCUUCCAGCUUUCUGGUUCUUCCAGGGCUCUUAGUGUCAUGCUUUUAGACUUUGAUUUCAGUACUGAGUUCAGAGACCAGAUGCUGAACUUCUAUUUUGCACUCUUCCUCCUCUUCCAACUGCUCUUUCAUCGCCUCCAGAUAAUUCCUGGUAUUAGCCAGGCUUACCACAGCAGCAGUGCAGGACUUGAGAUAGAUGAAUAGUAAUGGCUGCAAUGUUCUCCUGUUGGAAGUAUGAAGGCACUGACCUCACUCCCCCAGGCUGCAGUGCUCCACUUGAGCAACUUAGUUCUGGACUAGCUAGAAACAUUUCAAAGUAUCUUCCUGGUCAGGAGCCAAGUGUUUGCUCUCCUUACCUGUUUUGUUGUUGGUUUUUUUUUUGCUUUACUGCAGUGAAUUGAAUUGAGCUCAUAUAACUGAAAGCAGAACUUGGCUUGUCAUCAUUGCUGUUUUCUCUGAAACUGUUUCAAAAGAAUUACAACAGUAAACCCAUUUUGUGAUUGCUCUGAAUGCAGAGAAUUCUUGCCAGGCUUUUGAUAUGCAGGUGCAGUACUAGAAUUAUUCUUUGGAGAUAAGAAAAAUUUCCAGGACAGACAUGUCAGACGGAGACAUGGAAUGCUGAUACAUUUUGAGCCAGACAUAUGUGACCUAUGCAAAUGAACUGCAGUGCAAUCCACUGAACAGACAGCGGACUGAGAAUGAAGAGGUAUGUGUUCUGCUCUUUGCUUCUGGCUCACAGGAGAUCAUCUUAUGUUCAUAUCCCCCAUAUGAAUCGUGAUGCUCACGCCCUGUGCACCCUUACUGAGAUUAGCUGGUAACAAGCCCAGAGAUCUGUGUGAGGAGAACUUUCCCUUGUGAGAGCUGAAACAAUAAAAGGCUUGUUAUUCUGAAGUGGACAGCGAGCAAAGAGCAGGCAGAGCAUAUCCAACUCUAGCUGCAAGCUGUGAAGGUGGUUGGUGGUCCCCAGUACUCUUAACUUUUCAUCCUCUUGGGGUCAUACAUCUGAGAGAGCUGCAUGUGGACAACCUAAUUAAUCGACAUCAGACCUUGUGCUCUGUGCUUGGCUGGCUGUGUUGAGCUGCAGGAGAAAAAGCACACAGAGAGGCAGGAGGGGAACUCUUUCCACCUGAUUGAAGAAAGAAAAGAGAAGGCUAGAAGGAUUGGGCAGUUUGGGUAAAGGAGGCAGAGUGGCCAGAGUUCUGUGGAACACAGGGGAGGAGGAGGUUCAGGGGGGUGGUAGUGUUGCACACAGCUACCAGGGAAUUUACCUUGGAGCCUGAUGGCAUUACUUUCAGCUUGGCUUUUCUCCACCUCAGCCAGCUGGGCAUUGGCUUCAGACAGCUUAUCUUUCAGCUUGUGAGCAUGAGCAUCUGAGUCCAACGGUAAGAAUGGUUAGUCAUAUGAUGCUGAGUAAGGCUUGAAGAGCUACAGUAUCCUCCCUCCCCUGCAAGCUCAGUUGAUUUCUGUUGGUUGUAAUUAUAAUGAGAUGACUGUAGUAGGCAGGGAGAGUGCAAAUUGGUCUGAUCUUUAGAGAGGGGAGAUGCCUGUUUUGUUAGCCAUGCUGGGCAGUGUUUGGCAUCAGCCUGCAAAUGGCUGCUUUGUGGUAUCAGCUGGCUCACAUCUGUCUUGUGCUGUGGAUCUUGGAGGUGCUUUAUAAGAAAGGCUUCUGCAAGGCUUUUAUUUAGCCUUCAUAGGCUCUUUAUCUGAGUCAUAUCCAUCUUUGGUGCCACUCUGUUACAGGGUUGGUAUCUUUCAGAACAGUUAACCAUCUUCAUGCCUCAUUGCUAAAGCUCACAGUUGUUCUCUGGACUGCAGAUCAUGUAUUUCCCUUGCAAAGCAGCAGAAAAUAGGCUGAACAGUCUUGCUUUAUCUUUUUACUGUGUAUGACUGAAUGGGCUGCUUUCUAACAAACCUCUGAUCAACUUCUGCUCAACCCCAGAGGAAUGGCAAAGCUCAGCCAAUUUCAUGGAGCCUCGUGGGUUUUGUGUUUUUUGUUGUUUGUUUGUUUUUAAUUCCUUCCAAGAUCCACAGUGUGAGGGGAAGGUUGGAUCAGGUCUGCCCUGCUUAGGAGCCUAGAGAAGCUGCUGAAGAAACUUCUUUGGAGAGUCCCAGUGAUAUCUCAUUCUCUGAAGAAAAAAACAAGGUGUUCAGAUGUAGCUGAAGGUAUCUGACCUGGGUGCAGCUGUUGUAACACCAGUGUCUUUCCAGGGAGUAGAGAUCCAUAAGAUCACAAGGCAGAUCCCUUCCUUGGUUCUCCACCUAGUGGGAAAGAGGGAAAGAAGUUCUUAUUCCCUGUGAGGAGCCUGUGAGUGCAUUCUUGGCUUCCAUCUCUUCUUCCAGCCCUUCAGUAUAAGGGCCUGGAGAGUGCACCACAAACACAGCAGUGUCUGUGACUGAGAGAUGCAAGAUAAACUUGUGUGGAUACAAACGAGUCUUUAUUUCUUUACUCCCUCCUCUGUGUGCUUGCCAGGUCUACAGGAUUAUUUUUUCCUGGGAAAGGUCUACAGCUGGGAAUACUUAGCCAAGGAAACAGGAAAGGUGUGGCCGUGUGUCUUAGUAGACAACUGGUAUUAUGUGCAGCAUCAGUGGCUUGCUCUGCUGUGUUGGAAUCUGGCCAUUGGCGAUGUAAUGGAGCUGAUUUGGUUACUUGAGGGAAAUAGGUGCUUGUUCACAGGAACAGCUGCAGGCCCAGGUUUGUGGGUUGCUUUUUUGUUGUAGAAAUGCGGGGUUUUGAUUAGGUAUUUUGAUUAAGUAUUUGGGCAUUGAAAUAUGCCAGCUGAAAAACAUUUGAAUUCAGAAUGGCAGUACUUUGUGAGCUGUGUUCCCAUUUUUGGUUUUAUUUACCACCUUUCCUUGCGUGGUGAGUGGAACAGUACCUUGCAAGAGCUGCUAUAGGGGGGAAAAAAAGGUCAAGUUCUACGUAGGGAAAGACAAAUCCCAUAUCUCAGCUGAUUCUAUUGCUUAAGAGUGUAAAGAGAGAUUGGCCCCAGAAUCCAUUUUAACAGGGUAGGCUUAAAAGGUCUGUGUUGUUCUUCUAUGCAACUCGAUCUUAUCAAAAAAAAGAUAAAGCUGCACGAGCAGGCUGCUAUGGGUUAAGAAAAGGUAGGAUGUUAUCUCACAUGAGCUAAGCCAAAUAAGUGUUACCUCUCUGUAGCUAACAGGUUAAUCUUUGUUCAGAGUGAAGCAGAAUUUAACGUCCUGUCUCUGGCCUUAAAGUCCAUUUGCCCUUUGUCAAAGCUCUUUGUUGCCCCAUCGUCAACUUGUCUGUAAGUAGAGGUGUGAGCACCCCAAGGAGCUGCAUGGUCUGUGGUGUGAAGCACAAAUAUCAGCACUCUGUAGUUUUUUUUCUAUCUAUAUUUGAGACUUCCAGUGGCUCUGCUCUGAAGCACAGGUAACCUAUACUCCCUAAAAGCUUUGUGUUAGGAUUUGUGUUAGCAAAUCAUGCCAGUAUUUAUUCAUGGUCUUACAUGUUGCAUUAGGUAACUAGGUAGAUCAGCAGUUUGGAUAAUACGGAGCUGUAAAUAUGUAUUCUGCAAAGCUUAUUUCUGUGGGGAGGUUUGUCAGAAGUGCUGGCAGACCCAUAACAAAAGUAAUUGAUGAUGACACUAGAAUAAAUUAAAUUUGUGAUAAUAUUCUGCCUUUCUAAAGCAGUUUUUAUCUGAGGAUCAUAAAUAAAGCCUUACAUCAACAUAGAAUCAGUUAAUCCUCAUAACUUCCCAGUGAUUAUACACACUUUAUACGUGGGUGACUGUGGGAGUUGAAUUACAAAUAUCAGACAAUGAGUCAGAGAAAAACUUAGGAACAGAACCAUGUAUUUCUGAUUUGAUUUACCUGAGCAGCUGAACUGUACUUCUGCUUGGCACUGUGUUACUACUGAUGAGAGCGAGGUAUGGCUGUGGAUUUUCCUUUGACUUUCUAGUUCAGCAACUUUACAGGUGUAGCCAAUGCUGUUGGAGCUAUGAUGUAGCACAGCUGUGCUCAAUAGGAUUCCAUACCCUGGAGAAUUCCCUUAAAGCUGCCACCUCUUUACAGUGUCUUCCAAGAUCAGUUUGGCUCGUUCCAUCUCAUGGAGGUUAUUGAUUGUAAUUUUGAGGUCACCUCUGCUUUAUGACAACACUUCUCUGCCUUACCAUGGAUGUUUUCUCAUUCCCAGUUGCCCUGCAGCUAACUGAAAAACUUGGCUUCAAUGUGAGAAGUAACUGAAGCACACAUUGGCAGUGGGUGGCAGAAGGGCCCAAGGUUUCAAAAGCGAACUGCGUGGGACCGCUGAAGAAACAGUCCAUUGAAAACCCACCUCAUGUAAGUUUUAGGCAAAGGUGGUCUCCAGCCCUUUCAAGCAGAAUUUCAAGUUGCUGAGCUCAUCCUCCAGCACCACUUGGUACUACUCAGGGUAGCACUUCCAUUGCCAGGAUCCAGCUCAGUAGAACAGUCCAUCUUUGCUCUCAUCAUUUGGCCCAAGCACACCUCAGCACCCAGCAAGUUCCCUCAUUCCUAUUGAAGAGAUGGGAAUCCAGUGUUCAUCCUGAGUACCCUGCUACACCUUCUGCUUCCGUUUCCAUUUGCAAGAAGUGUUUGCUGCUUCUGUGGAAUUUAUUAAAGAUUUCUUUAAUAAAACUACUGUUGUAAUUGA